rnacentral:rRNA from 1 species
UCGGUUUGGGAUGAGCCUAUGUCCUAUCAGGUAGUUGGUGAGGUAACGGCUCACCAAGCCUAUGACGGGUAGCUGGCCUCAUGAGGGUGGUCAGCCAGAGGGGGACUGAGACACGGCCCCCACUCCUACGGGAGGCAGCAAUUAGGAAUAGUCGGCAAUGGGCGAAAGCCUGACCGCGCAAUGCCGCGUGUAGGAAGACGCUCUAACGAGUGUAAACUACUGUGGCGAGGGAAGAAGUCUUCGGAUUGACGGUACCUCGCUAGAAAGGGGCCGCUAACUGCGUGCCAGAAGCGUCGGUAAGACGUGGGCCCCGAGCGUUAUCCGGUGUUACUGGGCGUAAAGAGUCGUGUAGGCGGUUCGAAAAGUUACCUUUUAAAUCCCAAUGCUCAACAUUGGAACUGGAGGUAAUACUCUCGAACUAGAGUUUUCUACGGGGUGAAUGGAACUGUGGGAGGAGUAGUGAAAUGCGUUGAUCCCCACGGGAACACCAGCGGCGAAGGCGGUUCACUGGUAGAAGACUGACGCUGAGACACGAAAGCUAGGGUAUCGAAGCAGAUUAGAGACCUGCGUAGUCCUAGCCGUAAACGCAUGCUUGCUAGCUGCAUUUCCGCCCCUUCGGGGGUUAGGUGUGGCGAAGGUAACCCGUUAAGCAAGCCGCCUGGGGAUUACGGUCGCAAGACUAAAACUCAAAGGAAUUGGCGGGGAGGCACACAACCAGUGGAACAUGUGGUUUAAUUCGAAACAAACCGAAGAACCUCACCUGGGUUUGACAUGUAGCUGCUCAUCCUAUGAAAGUAGGACUCCUUCGAGGGUGCUACACAGGUGCUGCAUGGCUGUCGUCAGUUCGUUCCGUGAGGAGUGCCCUUAAGUGGGACAACGAACGCAACCCCCAUCGUAUGUUAUAUCUGUCAUACGAAACUGCCUUGCCGUUGGCGAGGAGGAAGGAGGGGCAGACGUCAAGUCUGCAUGGUCUUUAUGCCCAGGGCUACACUCAUGUUACAAUG